CUCGUAAUUGGAUUCCUGGCCUGGGGUAGCCGGUCCGCCUUGCAAAAGGUGCGCACUGAGCGGCCUCGGCCAUCCUUGGGAAGAGCAGUCCUGGCAUUCAGUUGUCGGGGUUGGGAUUCCCGACGUUUACUGUGAAAAAAUCAGAGUGUUCAACGCAGGCUUACGCCUUGAAUACAUUAGCAUGGAAUAAUGAGAUAGGACCUUGGCGGUCUAUUUUGUUGGUUUGCACGCCGAGGUAAUGAUUAAAAGGGACGGUUGGGGUUCUUCGUAUUCAAUUGUCAGAGGUGAAAUUCUUGGAUUUAUGGAAGACGAACUGCUGCGAAAGCGUCGAACAAGGACGUUCUCAUUAAUCAAGAACGAAAGUUAGGGGAUCGAAGAUGAUUAGAUACCAUCGUAGUCUUAACCAUAAACUAUGCCGAUUCAGGAUUGGCGGUCGUUUGUUCUCGACUCCGUCAGCACUGUAUGAGAAAUCAAAAUCUUUGGGUUCCGGGGGGAGUAUGGUCGCAAGGCUGAAACUUAAAGAAAUUGACGGAAGGGCACCACCAGGAGUGGAGCCUGCGGCUUAAUUUGACUCAACAC
rnacentral:rRNA from 1 species